GUCCGGCUGGCGCAAUGGUAGCGCGCAAGACUUCUACCAUUGGAUGUUUUAUAACACUGAAUCUUGAGGCUGUGGGUUCGAGUCCCACGUCGGAUG